GGGAUGGUAAAGGCAAAUCUGGGCCUAUCCCUUGGA
rnacentral:piRNA from 1 species